rnacentral:rRNA from 1 species
GUGGGCACCUUGCGGCUGUUUCACCACAUCCUGAGUGAACUUGAAGUGCCUCUUAUCACUAUGUGUGCCUAUGAUGAGGCAGUCUCUGCACGCAUGACCCUUGGAACAUGCUUCAAUGUGGUUAAGCCGUUGGAUACUGAAACCGUCAAUUUUCUGAGGAUGAGAGCACUGCAACACAGGUCUAUCAAAAAUCACAGGUCUGUGACUGAGGAUGAAGAACAAGAUGCGAUAAACGCGAAUGUCUAUCCAUAUAAUCUGGGUCGGUUCAUAUGGAGCAGUGAACUCCAUGAAAAGUUCUUGCAGGCUGUUGAAGUGCUUGGGGCGUCUGCUACGGCUAGAAAAAUUCACCAGUACAUGAAUGCAAAGGAUUUGAAUUUGACCAUACAGCACGUCGCAAGCCAUCUCCAGAAACACGGGCUGCGAGUGCAGAGGCAGAGGUUAUCUCACGAUGAAGAGGGCUAUCAACAUUAUGCCAGCAUGAAGGAAUUAUCUGAGAUGAUUUCAUCGGCGUACAAGGCAGCCAGUACUAAACCCAAUAACCAUCCGGCAACAACCCAGACGCAGUUCACACAUGGGGUUGCCUCUGCUAUCUGGGACAAGUACCCCGGGAUGGUGUGGCCACAUGUGGAGGGAAGUUCAGCUGCCUCUGCU